GACGAACGCUGGCGGCGUGCUUAACACAUGCAAGUCGAACGGAAAGGCCCUGCUUUUGUGGGGUGCUCGAGUGGCGAACGGGUGAGUAACACGUGAGUAACCUGCCCUUGACUUUGGGAUAACUUCAGGAAACUGGGGCUAAUACCGGAUAGGAGCUCCUGCUGCAUGGUGGGGGUUGGAAAGUUUCGGCGGUUGGGGAUGGACUCGCGGCUUAUCAGCUUGUUGGUGGGGUAGUGGCUUACCAAGGCUUUGACGGGUAGCCGGCCUGAGAGGGUGACCGGCCACAUUGGGACUGAGAUACGGCCCAGACUCCUACGGGAGGCAGCAGUGGGGAAUAUUGCACAAUGGGCGGAAGCCUGAUGCAGCAACGCCGCGUGCGGGAUGACGGCCUUCGGGUUGUAAACCGCUUUCGCCUGUGACGAAGCGUGAGUGACGGUAAUGGGUAAAGAAGCACCGGCUAACUACGUGCCAGCAGCCGCGGUGAUACGUAGGGUGCGAGCGUUGUCCGGAUUUAUUGGGCGUAAAGGGCUCGUAGGUGGUUGAUCGCGUCGGAAGUGUAAUCUUGGGGCUUAACCCUGAGCGUGCUUUCGAUACGGGUUGACUUGAGGAAGGUAGGGGAGAAUGGAAUUCCUGGUGGAGCGGUGGAAUGCGCAGAUAUCAGGAGGAACACCAGUGGCGAAGGCGGUUCUCUGGGCCCUUCCUGACGCUGAGGAGCGAAAGCGUGGGGAGCGAACAGGCUUAGAUACCCUGGUAGUCCACGCUGUAAACGGUGGGUACUAGGUGUGGGGUCCAUUCCACGGGUUCCGUGCCGUAGCUAACGCUUUAAGUACCCCGCCUGGGGAGUACGGCCGCAAGGCUAAAACUCAAAGGAAUUGACGGGGCCCCGCACAAGCGGCGGAGCAUGCGGAUUAAUUCGAUGCAACGCGUAGAACCUUACCUGGGUUUGACAUGGAUCGGGAGCGCUCAGAGAUGGGUGUGCCUCUUUUGGGGUCGGUUCACAGGUGGUGCAUGGCUGUCGUCAGCUCGUGUCGUGAGAUGUUGGGUUAAGUCCCGCAACGAGCGCAACCCUUGUUCACUGUUGCCAGCACGUUAUGGUGGGGACUCAGUGGAGACCGCCGGGGUCAACUCGGAGGAAGGUGGGGAUGACGUCAAGUCAUCAUGCCCCUUAUGUCCAGGGCUUCACGCAUGCUACAAUGGCUGGUACAGAGAGUGGCGAGCCUGUGAGGGUGAGCGAAUCUCGGAAAGCCGGUCUCAGUUCGGAUUGGGGUCUGCAACUCGACCUCAUGAAGUCGGAGUCGCUAGUAAUCGCAGAUCAGCAACGCUGCGGUGAAUACGUUCCCGGG
rnacentral:rRNA from 1 species